UGGGGAAUCUUGCACAAUGGGGGCAACCCUGAUGCAGCGACGCCGCGUGAGCGAUGAAGCCCUUCGGGGCGUAAAGCUCUUUCGACCGGAACGAUAAUGACGGUACCGGGAGAAGAAGCUGCGGCUAACUACGUGCCAGCAGCCGCGGUAAUACGUAGGCAGCAAGCGUUGUUCGGAGUUACUGGGCGUAAAGAGUGCGUAGGCGGUUUUCUAAGUUCGGUGUGAAAUCUCCCGGCUUAACUGGGAGGGUGCGCCGAAGACUGGGAAGCUGUAGUGUGGGAAAGGCAGGCGGAAUUCCUGGUGUAGCUGUGAAAUGCGUAGAUAUCAGGAGGAACACCGGCGGUGUAGACGGCUUGCUAGACCAUAACUGACGCUGAGGCACGAAAGCGUGGGGAGCAAACA
rnacentral:rRNA from 1 species